AUAUAUAUCUCUCUCUCUCUCCA
rnacentral:sRNA from 1 species